rnacentral:rRNA from 1 species
AGCUCCAAUAGCGUAUAUUAAAGUUGUUGCGGUUAAAAAGCUCGUAGUUGGAUUUUAGUUGAAGUUGCCCGGUCCGUCUUUGUGAUGUGUAUCUGGUGCAGCAUUAACGCUUUCUGGAUGUAGGUCAAAUUCUUAGUUGAGUUGGCUGAAAUCCAGGUUUUUACCUUGAGGAAAUUAGAGUGUUUCAAGCAGGCAUAUGCCUUGGAUAUAUUAGCAUGGAAUAAUAUUAUAGGACUUUUGUUCUAUUUUGUUGGUUUCUAGAACUAAAGUGUUGAUUAAUAGGGACAGUCGGGGGCAUUUGUACUUAACUGUCAGAGGUGAAAUUCUUGGAUUUGUUAAUGACAAACGACUGCGAAAGCAUUUGUCAAGGAUGUUUUCAUUG